AGAGUUUGAUCCUGGCUCAGAACAAACGCUGGCGGCGUGCCUAACACAUGCAAGUCGUACGAGAAAGGGUCCUUCGGGACCUGAGUAAAGUGGCGCACGGGUGAGUAACGCGUGGAUAAUCUGCCCUUCAGUUGGGAACAACUCAUCGAAAGGUGGGCUAAUACCGAAUAACACUGCGAGACUUUGGUCGAGCAGUCAAAGAGAGCCUCUGCUUGCAAGCCCUCGCUGAAGGAUGAGUCCGCGUACCAUUAGCUAGUUGGUAGGGUAAUGGCCUACCAAGGCGACGAUGGUUAGCUGGUCUGAGAGGAUGAUCAGCCACACUGGAACUGAGAUACGGUCCAGACUCCUACGGGAGGCAGCAGUGAGGAAUCUUGCGCAAUGGGGGCAACCCUGACGCAGCAACGCCGCGUGAGUGAGGAAGGUCUUCGGAUCGUAAAGCUCUGUCAGUUGGGAAGAAAUGGCUGGAGGUUAAUACCCUUCGGUCUUGACGGUACCAACAGAGGAAGCACCGGCUAACUCCGUGCCAGCAGCCGCGGUAAUACGGGGGGUGCAAGCGUUGUUCGGAAUUAUUGGGCGUAAAGAGCGUGUAGGCGGCCUGAUAUGUCAGAUGUGAAAGCCCUGGGCUUAACCCAGGAAGUGCAUUUGAAACUGUCAGGCUCGAGUAGGGGAGAGGGAAGUGGAAUUCCUGGUGUAGAGGUGAAAUUCGUAGAUAUCAGGAGGAACACCGGUGGCGAAGGCGACUUCCUGGCCCUAUACUGACGCUGAGACGCGAGAGCGUGGGUAGCAAACAGGAUUAGAUACCCUGGUAGUCCACGCCGUAAACGAUGUUCACUAGGUGUUGGGGGUAUUGACCCCCUCAGUGCCGGAGCUAACGCAUUAAGUGAACCGCCUGGGGAGUACGGUCGCAAGACUAAAACUCAAA
rnacentral:rRNA from 1 species